UCGUCUCUAGAAAGUAAAGUA
rnacentral:piRNA from 1 species